GAUAUUAACUAAUUAAUUAGCUAAUUACUAAUCGUUAAAAUGAUUAAAUAUGAUUUAGAUGAUAUCUAAAUUUUUUAAUAAAUAUUAUUUACGAUUGAAUUACUAAUUGUUAAAAAUUAUAUUUUCCGUGGAAGUGAUCAAUGCGCCCUCAUAUUUUCAUGAUUCGAACGUAUUUAGUGUGUUUUCGUGUACACUUGAAUUAUUGUAAUAGUUGUUUAAAACAUAUAUUGUACUUUGGAACUAUCAUUUAUUGAUCCUUUCGAUAAGUUAUGAGCUCAUUCAAGAUAAAUAUGUAAAAAGUUGAAGAAAUGAUGUAAAUAAAAUAAAAUUAAAAAUUAACCUCAAAACUUGAGUUUAACGGUCACUCAAUGUAUCGGGAAACUAAACGAAUUAAAUCAUAAAUUGGAAAUUAUAAUUGAAAGUGUAUUAAAUUGUAAUGAUUUACAGAAGUGGAACUCAAAUGAAAAAUGAUCAAAAAUAGGUUGAAUUGAUAAGAACGAAAAAGGACUUGCAUGGAUCUCAUUACCGCCAUCAAAGAAUGAAGAAAAGUAAAUUAUCAAACAAUACACGAAAUCAAUUAAAGGGUAUACAUGAAUCAAAAGAUCCACUAAGAAAGGAAAAAAGAAAAGUAGUUAAGUACAAACAAGUUGUACAAUCCAACGAUAGAACCUAAUCAAAAUAUGACGGAGCAUGCAAAUAAUGUAAUAAAUUAUAAAGCAAAAUAACUUGAAGGAACUAAUAUAUAAAUUUCAGAUUCUUUCUAUUGUUUUAUCAGAUUCAGUUUCUUUGAAGAGAGUUGUAAGAGGUUAAUCUACAGUCGCUAUUGAAAGAGGAUCAAAAUUAUUUUUUGGAAUAUCAUGUUAAAAUAUGAAAAGACGAAGAGAGAAAAUGUUGAUAGAAAAAAAUUGAUCUGUACGAUGAUCGUACAGAUUAUUGACUAAAUGUUUUGGAGAGUAUCAUAUUGAUUAGUAACUCAUAAAGUUUUGUCGGAGUAUGUGAAACAGAAUCUGAUAAAUUUUCCUGUAGUUAAAUAGACUCGUAUAAUUGAAUUCAGAAAUUGUAAUCUUUGGCUUUUUUUCCGUUUAAAAAGAAAAAACUAGGUAUCAAGGGUGUUAAGUAAAAUACUAAAAAAAAUAAUUCUUUCCUUUUUUUUAAAUUACAUCAAUGUAUGUAAUGUAUAAAAAUAUUUCAAGAAAUGUGUUACGUUUGUCUUACUUCCUUUUAUGAACUUUUUAUUUAACUUUGCAAGACUUGCUACAUUUUUGAAUGAAAAUGAAUUGUUUGAAUGAAAAAAUUUGAAUGAAAACACCUUGUUUUACUUUAAUUUAUAAAAACAUACUCAGAUUGGCUAGCUUUGUUUUUGGAAGUGCAACAUCUGGUCUGGGCAAAUAAGAAAUAUUAAUCUUUCCCUGAUUUGUUUAAUGGAAAAUUUAAUAGACUGAAAGUUUAUUUAAAAACAGAAUAAACAAUAACAAGAACAAUAAUA